GCCCGAUAGUGGUCAAGAAAAAAUUGGCCUCUUCCUCCAAGACGACCAAAGCCACCACUCAAAACCUACCGAGCAAACGACAUCACCUGGUCACCGAGACGACAGGUGAAACUCUUCGUCCUUAUAAACGCGUCAAGAAAUUGGUGAAUAAGGGAACUCGGGAGAUUCAUGUUUUCUCCAGCCACACCACUGGGACCACCACCCCGAAUGCCUCUCCUCCUGCUUCCGUUGCUCAAACUUCGGCAGAUAAUCGGCCUUCUCUGGCUGACCUGGCCACCCAAGCUCAACCAACACCUGAGGUCCCUGGGGUAGUGGUUGAGCUGGUUGCUGCACCCUCGGUUGACUUGCCUGCAGCUCCAGGGUCAACAGGAGUACCCGUUCUGGGGGAAACGACUCAUUCAAUUAUAAAGGAUCUCUCCAAGAAUCCGAAGCAUUUGGUUGUUAUCUUAGAAAAGGAUGAUGGGAGUGACGAGACUCCGCUGGCGAGUCGCUCUCGACCAAUCUAGGCUUCUUCCGUUGAUCCUCCCCCCGUGGUUGAGGCGGCCGAUCAGGUUAAUCCUCCAACGGUCGAUCAUGGAAAGAAGCCUAUGGUCGAGCCUGAAGCGACGUCAGAAACUCCACUUCACCCUCAGGACCAAGACCUCGGCAUCCCUCAUCAAAAAGUGACCUCGACUUUUCCUUCAUGGGAAGUCGAGUUUGAUGCUUUUCUUUUAAGCACUUCUGGAGCAGCUGGUCCUUUGGCAGCUAUGACUGAACCUGCCGAAUCAUCUGUUCUUGUUCGGUUGCAAGAAGUUUUGUCCCUCUCAGCUUCACAAGUCUUCAAGUGCAAAGGUCUUGAUUUGUUUGGUGCAUGCCUAAAUGACCUCGGAAGUGAUGAUCAAUUGAGCACCGAAGCUAUCAUUCAGGCGUCGUCUACCUUGGAGCGAGUUAAGGAAUCCUUCAGUACUUUCGAGAACGCUCUUCAGGCCGAUGAUGACUUGAUGAAGAUGCUCUUCGUCCGAAGAUCGAUACUUUAAAGGUGAAAAAGGAGGCCCUGGCCGACCUCGACCGUCAAAUGGCCAAACUGGCAAACCGAAUGUCGGCCAUUGCUUCUGAUCUUACGAGUGACUUUGAGUCGGGUGGUAAAUCUUGUUUAAUCGAAUACACGACGAACGUGAAGAGAGUCGAGCAGCUGAAGAUGGACAGGAAGAACCAGUAAGCCGAGGUCAUAAUGGGCGAGCUGAGGUGGUUGGAGCUGAAGGCCCUUCUUGGAACUCUUCUUCCUUCAUCACCCUAGAAUUGUUUGACUGUAAACUGACUUAUCAAUGAAAUGAAACAAGCUUUUAUUCUUGCAUCUCCCAUUUGACUGGGUAGUAUUUUUUUAAGAACUUUCCAUUG